GGAGGCGUAGCUCAGCUGGUUAGAGCGCACGGUUCACAUCCGUGAGGUCAAGGGUUCGAUCCCCCUCGUCUCCACCA
rnacentral:tRNA from 1 species